GCAUGGGUUUGGAUUUAUGGCAAGCCCACUGCCUGGGCCUCUCAUAGUGCCCCAUGCCGGUGCAAACUAUGACCCCAGAUCAUUGCCUGGCCUCUGUCCAUAGGCUGUUGGCAUUGAGGCAGGUUCAACAGUA